AGUGAACGCUGGCGGUAGGCCUAACACAUGCAAGUCGAACGGCAGCACAGUAAGAGCUUGCUCUUACGGGUGGCGAGUGGCGGACGGGUGAGAAAUACAUCGGAAUCUACUUUUUCGUGGGGGAGAAAGUAGGGAAACAUACGCCAAUACUGCAUACGACCUACGGGUGAAAGCAUGGGACCUUCGGAUCUUGCACGAUUGAAUGAGCCGAUGUCGGAUUAGCUAGUUGGCGGGGUAAAGGCCCACCAAGGCGACGAUCCGUAGCUGGUCUGAGAGGAUGAUCAGCCACACUGGAACUGAGACACGGUCCAGACUCCUACGGGAGGCAGCAGUGGGGAAUAUUGGACAAUGGGCGAAAGCCUGAUCCAGCCAUACCGCGUGUGUGAAGAAGGCCUUCGGGUUGUAAAGCCCUUUUGUUGGGAAAGAAAAGUAGCAGGUUAAUACCCCGCUGUUCUGACGGUACCAAAAGAAUAAGCACCGGCUAACUUCGUG
rnacentral:rRNA from 1 species